AGUGAACGCUGGCGGUAGGCCUAACACAUGCAAGUCGAACGGCAGCACAGGAGAGCUUGCUCUCUAGGUGGCGAGUGGCGGACGUGUGAGGAAUACAUCGGAAUCUGCCCAGUCGUGGGGGAUAACGUAGGGAAACUUACGCUAAUACCGCAUACGACCUUCGGGUGAAAGAGGGGGAUCGCAAGACCUCUCUCGAUUGGAUGAGCCGAUGUCGGAUUAGCUAGUUAGCGGGGUAAUGGCCCACCAAGGCGACGAUCCGUAGCUGGUCUGAGAGGAUGAUCAGCCACACUGGAACUGAGACACGGUCCAGACUCCUACGGGAGGCAGCAGUGGGGAAUAUUGGACAAUGGGCGCAAGCCUGAUCCAGCCAUACCGCGUGGGUGAAGAAGGCCUUCGGGUUGUAAAGCCCUUUUGUUGGGAAAGAAAUCUUUCAGGCUAAUACCCUGGGAGGAUGACGGUACCCAAAGAAUAAGCACCGGCUAACUUCGUG
rnacentral:rRNA from 1 species